rnacentral:rRNA from 1 species
ACGGAGGAAAAGAAACCAACAGGGAUUGCCUUAGUAACGGCGAGUGAAGCGGCAAAAGCUCAAAUUUGAAAUCUGGCACUUUCAGUGUCCGAGUUGUAAUUUGAAGAAGGUAACUUUGGAGUUGGCCCUUGUCUAUGUUCCUUGGAACAGGACGUCACAGAGGGUGAGAAUCCCGUGCGAUGAGGUGUCCAAUUCUAUGUAAAGUGCUUUCGAAGAGUCGAGUUGUUUGGGAAUGCAGCUCUAAGUGGGUGGUAAAUUCCAUCUAAAGCUAAAUAUUGGCGAGAGACCGAUAGCGAACAAGUACAGUGAUGGAAAGAUGAAAAGAACUUUGAAAAGAGAGUGAAAAAGUACGUGAAAUUGUUGAAAGGGAAGGGCUUGAGAUCAGACUCGGUAUUUUGCAAGCCUAUCCUUCGUGGAGAGGUUUAUUAGCAGCUUACCGGGCCAGCAUCGGUUUGGAUGGUAGGAUAAUGGCAUUGGAAUGUGGCUCCUCGGAGUGUUAUAGCCUUUGUUGAUACUGCCUAUCUAGACCGAGGACUGCGUCUUUGACUAGGAUGCUGGCGUAAUGAUCUUAAGCCGCCCGUCUUA